UCACCAAAUCCGAAUCCUCUCUUUCUCCACUGAUAAUAUUCUCUCUCUCGAAACUCAAAAAGAGAAAACAAAAAGACCCUCUCUCAUAAUAGCUCUCUCUCUCAAAAAUUGAAAGAAAAAUCAUCUCUCCACUGAGGAUCUCUCUUCACUUAAUCUCUCAACAACUCUCUAGUUGGCAGAGAGAAAACUAAAAAAAAAAAAAAAAAAAAAAGAGAAGAAGUUUGGAUCUUUUUUCUUCCAUCGUCUCCACCAUUUCCGAUAACUUCACCGGCCUCACCUUCAUCCUUCCUCCAUCAAAUCCGUCGCGCUGACACCACCAAACACCGGCGAAUCCUCACUCCUCUGCCUUCUCUGACCUACCCAAAACGACAAACCACCGCCAUGCCUCCAUCCUAGGCACAAACUCACACUCCGUUCGACAACAAGGUCGCGCCAACUGCCUCUUCUUCAACGCGCAACCUCCGCUUUCAACGUAUAAAUUCCGCUACACCACCACCGUGAACCUCACUCCUCUACCGCGACUACAAUCACGCAUCUGCCAUCACCGUAAACUCAACGACAUCUUCCUCCGUUCUUCUUUCCCCCACUCACAACAACCGCUCGCUGCCUUAUCUUCCGCCAUCUCUGUCGCGAGCUCCGUAUCAAUAAAUCCUCCGCCUCCUACAUUACCAUAUCCACUGAAGUCAAGCAUCCUUCUCACCUAUUUCCCUCAAUCCAAACACGACUUUGUUCAAAUCGAAUUGCUAAAUCUACUCAAUCACGGCGAGAAUAAACCGUCAAGCCUCCAGCUCCUCCCGUUCCGACACAUAAACUCCUCCACUACAUCGUCGCGGUAAUACCGUCACAGCAGCAAGUUCAUCGCCUACAACGGUUUAACAUCGCGGAGAAUUAUUAUUCUUAGCUUGGAUUAUUAAAUAAGAAUGCAAGCAAACUGUUUUGGAGAAGGAGAGAAACGGUUAUCUUUUUUCUUAUUCCCAAAAUUUUCCUCUUAAUUACUUACUCAAUGUAUUGUAGAAAAAUCAAAACAGUUUUUUUAUAUAUUUUUAGCCAUAUGUUGUUAAUAUUAAAGUAAAUUAAGAAUGAAAUUGACUUUUCUCAUAACACUUUGAGCCCAUGGCUUAUUUUUCCACCUCCCAUUUGUAAAUAAAUUUGUGUUAUAGAAUUAUAUUAUAUUU